CAGGCCUAACACAUGCAAGUCGUACGGGCAUGGCAACAUGUCAGUGGCGGACGGGUGAGUAACGCGUAGGAAUCUGUCUCUGGGUGGGGGAUAACAGUGGGAAACUACUGCUAAUACCGCAUGAUACCUGAGGGUUAAAGGCGAAAGCCGCCUGGGGAGGAGCCUGCGUUCGAUUAGCUAGUUGGUGGGGUAAAGGCCUACCAAGGCUACGAUCGAUAGCUGGUCUGAGAGGAUGAUCAGCCACACUGGGACUGAGACACGGCCCAGACUCCUACGGGAGGCAGCAGUGGGGAAUAUUGGACAAUGGGCGCAAGCCUGAUCCAGCAAUGCCGCGUGGGUGAAGAAGGUUUUCGGAUUGUAAAGCCCUUUUGGCAGGGACGAUGAUGACGGUACCUGCAGAAUAAGCCCCGGCUAACUUCGUGCCAGCAGCCGCGGUAAUACGAAGGGGGCUAGCGUUGCUCGG
rnacentral:rRNA from 1 species